AGCACACGACAGGGGCGCUCGCGAUCAGCGAGCUGAGAAGUACCCUUAUAACCUGAACCGGCUAAUACCGGCGUAGGAAGUCGUGGUGUGCUCGCA
rnacentral:ncRNA from 2 species